UUCCUUGAUAGCUCAGUGGUAGAGCAGUGGGUUGUUAACCGAUUGGUUGUAGGUUCAAAUCCAACCUAAGAAGA